UAGAAUUUGUGGAUUUAAAUGGCAUCAUGAAGUUAAAGAAUGUGCUGCUUCCUAGUGAGGAAUUAUUCAAAGACAACCUGAAUAUAUUCAUUAGAUGAGGAAACUGAAACACACAGAGGUUAAGAAGCUUCUUCAAGAUUGUUAAAAACUCUUCAGGGUUUAUAUUUUAUACAACACUAUUCGACACCAAAACCAACGAUCCCAACCACUAAUCUAUGGUGCAAAUUAGAGAGAAAAAAAAAAAACGUUAAUGGUUAGGACCCCCAGGCCUCUCAAAAAUAUCAAAGAGACAAAACUGACCAGAUCAUCACAUCCAGACAAUGAGAUGCCAGUCCCUUCAUUCACCAUGAUUGCAUCCUUACCCCUCCCAAGUUCCUAUUUUCCUACACAUCAUUAUAUUUCUCUCCUGCUAUAUAAAACCCCUGAUUUCAGUGAGUCACAGAGAUGGACUUGAGACUGUUCUUCCAACUCCUCGGCUGCAGCACCCAAUUAAAGCCUUCUUCCUUGGUAAUAAUCGUCUCAGUGCUUGUCUUUGCGGGCAGCAAGCAGCAGAAUGUAGACCGAAUCCCUGGUGUCAUCAAUUCUUUUUUUCACUUGUGUGGUUUUCAUUGCAUUAUGUGGAUUUACUGUAGUGAAUUCAUCUAAUUCUUUCUGAAGGGCAUUCAUGUUAUUUCCAAGCUUCUGUUAAUACAAACAUUGUCACAACGAGAAAUUCAUGCAUAUGUUAAUUAAUUUUUUUGUAACCCUAUCUUUUUUGAUAAUAUCAUAGAAGUAGGAUUGCUCAUUGUCAGUAUAAAUGUAUAUAUGAUUUUCCUAAAUAUUCUAAAUUUACUGUCAUCUUUGGUUGGUAAUUUUGCAUUACUACAAGCACUGUAUGAGAGUGAUGGGGUCUCCAAAGCCUUACCACAAAGUAUGUUGUCAAACUUUUGAAUUUGUAUCAAUCUGAUUGUGGAGAAAUGGUAUCUGAGGUUUAUUUAACUUGCACUUAUUUAUUUAAUUGCCUAAUUUCUUAUUAUGCAGGAUGUUAUGCACCUUUCAUUUUACACCGUGCUUAUAUAUUUUCUGUGAAAUACAUGUUUCUAUAUUUUGCCUGUUUUUCUAUCAUGUUAUUACAUUUUUUCUCUCAAUUUUUAGAAUCUUUUCAUAUAUAAGGGCAGUUACAGCUAUUGCAAAUAUCUUUCCUCAUUUUCCAUUUUACUCUGGUGAUGUUUAUUUGCAUGUCCUUAUUUUAAAUUUUUAUGUAGUAAAAAUUAUCCAUGUUGAAUGCCACAGGAUUUUUUUUUCACUUUUAGAUUUUGAUUCACGGUUAAGAAUAUCUUUCCUAUUGACAGUUAAAAAUAAAUUUAUCUUUCUGUU